rnacentral:lncRNA from 1 species
CUUAUUAAAGGCAGAAAUGAAACAGAAAAAGAAGUGUUUUACUGCUCAGCUGCCAAGGAGUGAAGAGAAGUGGAUGCCCUGACAUAGAAUAUUUAACCUGGAAAUAUUCGUAUUCAGGAGGACAUUCCUAAGUAGCUAAAAAGGCAAAAUGACAUACUCUGAUUUAGAAGGACUAAAUGCUAGGGACAACUAAGCUAUGUCAGAACAUUACAGCAAUUGUUCACAUGGAUUAGCCAAAGUAAUUUGAUAUCUU